rnacentral:rRNA from 1 species
UACGUAGGGUGCAAGCGUUGUCCGGAAUUAUUGGGCGUAAAGAGCUCGUAGGCGGUCUGUCGCGUCUGCUGUGAAAACUCAGGGCUUAACCCUGAGCUUGCAGUGGGUACGGGCAGACUAGAGUGCGGUAGGGGAGACUGGAAUUCCUGGUGUAGCGGUGAAAUGCGUAGAUAUCCGGAGGAACACCGGUGGCGAAGGCGGCUUCCUGGACCGACACUGACGCUGAGGCGCGAAAGCUAGGGGAGCAAACGGG